AGGACGAAAGCACUUCUUCAGAAGAUGGGGAGCUACAUGAUAUUUGAUGUUGCCAUGGGAGACCAGAACAUUUGCAGAGCAGAUGGACCAAAGUUAAAUAACAUGGAUACAGGAAAUGUACCUGGGAAGAACCUUGAAGAGACCCACAGAUCUCUGUCAAAGUAGUUAUUUGCCAAGAGAUUCCUUUACUUAACUGAGCUUGGCAAAGCAAGGAUAUGAACAAUUAUACAGGUGGGCUACU
rnacentral:lncRNA from 1 species